rnacentral:rRNA from 1 species
UACAGAGGUCCCAAGCGUUGUUCGGAUUCACUGGGCGUAAAGGGUGCGUAGGUGGUGGGGUAAGUUUGAUGUGAAAGCUCCGGGCUUAACCCGGAAAUGGCAUUGAAUACUAUCUCGCUUGAGGGUUGGAGGGGAGACUGGAAUUCUUGGUGUAGCAGUGAAAUGCGUAGAUAUCAAGAGGAACACCAGUGGCGAAGGCGAGUCUCUGGACAACUCCUGACACUGAGGCACGGAAGCUAGGGGAGCAAACAGG